rnacentral:rRNA from 1 species
AGUGAACGCUGGCGGCAGGCCUAACACAUGCAAGUCGAACGGUAACAGAAAGCAGCCUGCUGCUUUGCUGACGCGAGGCGGGCGGGUGAGAAAUGUCCGGGAGACUGCCCGUUGGAGGGGGGGAACUACUAGGAACGGUAACGAAAACACCACAUACUCCCUACACCAAAGAGGGGGAGAUUUUGGCCCCUUGCGAUAGGAAAUGACCCGAUGGGGGAUUAGCUAGUGGGCGGGGUAGAGGCCCCCCAAGGCGACGAUCCGUAGCUGGUCUGAGAGGAUGAUCAGCCACACUGGAACUGAGACACGGUCCAGACUCCUACGGGAGGCAGCAGUGGGGAAUAUUGGACAAUGGGCGCAAGCCUGAUGCAGCCAUACCGCGUGUAUGAAGAAGGCCUUCGGGUUGUAAAGUCCUUUUGGUGGGAAAGAAGGGCGUCAGGUUAAUACCUCGCCUUACUGACGGUACCCGAAGAAUAAGCACCGGCUAACUUCGUG